rnacentral:rRNA from 1 species
GAUGAACGCUGGCGGCGUGCUUAACACAUGCAAGUCGAACGAAGCACUUUAUUUGAUUUCCUUCGGGACUGAUUAUUUUGUGACUGAGUGGCGGACGGGUGAGUAACGCGUGGGUAACCUGCCUUGUACAGGGGGAUAACAGUUGGAAACGGCUGCUAAUACCGCAUAAGCGCACGGCAUCGCAUGAUGCAGUGUGAAAAACUCCGGUGGUAUAAGAUGGACCCGCGUUGGAUUAGCUAGUUGGUGAGGUAACGGCCCACCAAGGCGACGAUCCAUAGCCGACCUGAGAGGGUGACCAGCCACAUUGGGACUGAGACACGGCCCAAACUCCUACGGGAGGCAGCAGUGGGGAAUAUUGCACAAUGGGCGAAAGCCUGAUGCAGCGACGCCGCGUGAGCGAAGAAGUAUUUCGGUAUGUAAAGCUCUAUCAGCAGGGAAGAUAAUGACGGUACCUGACUAAGAAGCACCGGCUAAAUACGUG